rnacentral:lncRNA from 1 species
GUGUAUUUGUCAAAGAGGAGGGGCAAAGAAACUGUACUGUUUGUUUUUUUGUUGAUGAUUUAUUAUUCUUUUGGAAAGAUGUUGCAAUGUACAAUAACGCCCUAGCUCAACUGAAAGAGCACUUUGACAUGAAAGAUCUUGGUGAGGUAAACAACUACCUAUCUCUGGAAAUAGAGAGAGAUCAAGAUGGUAACAUUCUAGUACACCAGUCACGGAAAAUUGCUGAUGUGUUAAGCAAACUAAAUCUGAUGGAUGCUAACCCUGUAGACACCCCGAUGACAACAGCUUAUCAGGUACAUGACACUGAAGAAGCAUUUUCUGACACUACACUGUACAGGAGUGUGCUAGGCAAGCUAAACUUCAUUGCCAGAUGUUCAAGACCAGACAUUGCUGUUAGCUGUAAUUUGCUAAGCAGACAAGUCAACAAUCCUAGUGUCAAGGAUUGGAAAGCUCUGAAACGCAUAGCGCGGUAUUUGAAAGGCACUAUGCAUUACAGACUGAGAUUUAACAAUCAGAAGUCUGGUGGUCUUGAGAUAUUUGCAGAUGCAAGUUUUGGAAGUGACGCUACAGACAGGAAAAGUACGUCUGGAGUUUGCUACAUGUACAAUCAGAGUCUGUUUGAUUGGUCAUGCAAGAAGCAAACAACAGUUAGCUUAAGUACUUGUGAAGCUGAACUGAAUGCACUGUCUUAUUCACUUAAGGAUUGUGAAUGGUUAGUACAAUUGUGCAAAGAUAUGAAAAUUCCUGUCAAAUGUCCAAUCCAGGUUUACCAGGACAACAAAGCAUGUUUGGCUUUGCUGAAGUCUGAAGGUUGUAAGCAAAGCACAAAGCACUUGCAAUUAAAGUUGCAGCAUGCUAGGGAAUGUAUUCAGAAGGGACUCGUAACGGUGUCCUAUAUGCCAGGUAAUGAAAUUCCUGCUGAUGUAUUGUCCAAGAUUGUAUCAAGGGAUCAACACUGUACCUAUGUGCAGAAGUUGGGUUUGUACUGAUAUUGUGCAAACACGCUGCCCAGUGAUGUUCACAGAAAGGGGGAGGAUGUUGGUUUCUAUUUCCCUCACUGAGCAGCAACUGCAGUCACAAGACAUUGUUUUGCAUUCCACAG